rnacentral:piRNA from 1 species
UGCAUAUGCUGAUGGUAUACUAGAUGCAA